rnacentral:rRNA from 1 species
UGAGGAACAUGACCUUCGGCGGGGGAUAGCCGGCCCAACGGCCGGGUAAUACCGCGUACGACCUUUUGGGGACAUCCCUGGAUGGUGAAAGCAGCAAUGCGCCGAUGGAGUGCCUCGCGGCCUAUCAGCUAGUUGGUGAGGUAACGGCUCACCAAGGCGACGACGGGUAGCUGGUCUGAGAGGACGACCAGCCACACUGGAACUGAGAUACGGUCCAGACCUCCGUACGGGAGGNACGCG